rnacentral:rRNA from 1 species
AUUGAACGCUGGCGGCAUGCUUUACACAUGCAAGUCGUACGAGUAGCGAACGGGUGAGUAACGCAUCGGAAAUUCCCCCGUAAUGGGGGAUAACUGUCCGAAAGGACAGCUAAUCCCGCAUCUUAUUCUAGUGGCCGAUGUCGGAUUAGCUGGUUGGCGGGGUAAAGGCCCACCAAGGCGACGGUCAGUAGCGGGUCUGAGAGGAUGCUUCGCAACGCUGGGACUGAGACACGGCCCAGACUCCUACGGGAGGCAGCAGUGGGAAAUUUUGGACAAUGGGCGCAAGCCUGAUGCAGCCGUGCCGCGUGUCUGAAGAAGGCCUUAGGGUUGUAAAGGACUUUUGUCAGGGAAGCGGUACCUGGAGAAUAGGCACCGGCUAACUACGUGCCAGCGGGCGCGGUAAUUC